GACGAACGCUGGCGGCGUGCUUAACACAUGCAAGUCGAACGAAGAGCGAUGGAAGCUUGCUUCUAUCAAUCUUAGUGGCGAACGGGUGAGUAACGCGUAACCAACCUGCCCUUCAGAGGGGGACACCAGUUGGAAACGACUGCUAAUACCGCAUACGAUCUAAUCUCGGCAUCGAGGAUAGAUGAACGGUGGCCUCUACAUGUAAGCUAUCACUGAAGGAGGGGAUUGCGUCUGAUUAGCUAGUUGGAGGGGUAACGGCCCACCAAGGCGAUGAUCAGUAGCCGGUCUGAGAGGAUGAACGGCCACAUUGGGACGGAGACACGGCCCAGACUCCUACGGGAGGCAGCAGUGGGGAAUCGUCCGCAAUGGACGAAAGUCUGACGGAGCAACGCCGCGUGAGUGAUGACGGCCUUCGGGUUGUAAAGCUCUGUUAAUCGGGACGAAAGGCCUUCUUGCGAAUAGUGAGAAGGAUUGACGGUACCGGAAUAGAAAGCCACGGCUAACUACGUG
rnacentral:rRNA from 1 species